UCUUUUAUAUCUAGCAUGUGAAAAACGGAGGGAGUACAAAUAAUAAGGCUCAAGAACAACUGAACCACCAAUGGUUCUUAAUCAAGGUCAGUACUGCACCUCCCAAAUCCCGACUAUGUCCUGUGUCCUCAGUUGAAUACACAACUCAAAUCAGAUUUGCCGCACAGGUCUUCAAUCCUUGGCUAGCACCGAUUUCUUUUCUUAGAUGUUCUUCCAUUAUAUGUUGACUUCCAGCUCUUUAACCUUUUUAAAUGAGAAAAAAUAGAUUGACAAAAAAGGAAGCAACAAGGAAUGAAACAAAAUAGUGGCUGGACACAAUUAUUGACGAAGUUGAUUUGAUCAAAUGGCAAAUAUGCAAAUAGAGCAGUUACCUUCUGCUUACUUGAAGCACACCCUGCAUAUACAACAGAAAACUGAUUUUUGCAACAAUUUUGUUUUAAUGUUUUCCAAAUAGCAUAUGAAUCAAGCAUAUCGAUUAUGUGACAAUACCUGAAAUCAAACUUUCCAUUAAUAAGCUUCACUACGUUUAAUGACGAAAACCAAACUUCAGAUGUAGAAUCGGUGAGCUUUCAGGACAGUGGGAGCUUACCGUGUUAGGGGAUGGGGAUUUUGUCGAACAUCUUUC
rnacentral:lncRNA from 1 species